AAACCAACAGGGAUUGCCCCAGUAACGGCGAGUGAAGCGGCAAGAGCUCAAAUUUGAAAGCUGGCUCCUUCGGGGUCCGCAUUGUAAUUUGUAGAGGAUGCUUCGGGAGCGGUCCCCAUCUAAGUGCCCUGGAACGGGACGUCAUAGAGGGUGAGAAUCCCGUAUGGGAUGGGGUGUCCGCGCCCGUGUGAAGCUCCUUCGACGAGUCGAGUUGUUUGGGAAUGCAGCUCUAAAUGGGUGGUAAAUUUCAUCUAAAGCUAAAUAUUGGCCGGAGACCGAUAGCGCACAAGUAGAGUGAUCGAAAGAUGAAAAGCACUUUGAAAAGAGAGUUAAAAAGCACGUGAAAUUGUUGAAAGGGAAGCGCUUGCGACCAGACUCGCUCGCGGGGUUCAGCCGGCAUUCGUGCCGGUGUAUUUCCCCGCGGGCGGGCCAGCGUCGGUUUGGGCGGUCGGUCAAAGGCCCUCGGAAGGUAACGCCCCUAGGGGCGUCUUAUAGCCGAGGGUGCAAUGCGACCUGCCUAGACCGAGGAACGCGCUUCGGCUCGGACGCUGGCAUAAUGGUCGUAAGCGAC
rnacentral:rRNA from 1 species